CGGUUGAUCCUGCCGGACCCUACUGCUAUCGGGAUAGGACUUAGACAUGCUAGUCGUGCGUCUCCCACUAUGUUUGGAGGGCGCGACAUACGGCUCAGUAACACGCGGCUAACCUACCCUUAGGACAGAGAUAACCCCGGGAAACUGGGGCUAAUAUCUGAUAGGUGAAAAUUCCUGGAGUGGAUUUUCGCCCAAAAGACGUCUAAAUCAUGCUUUGGACGUCGCCUAAGGAUGGGGCCGCGUCCGAUCAGGUUGUUGGUGAGGUAAUGGCUCACCAAACCUUUGACCGGUACGGGCCGCGGGAGCGGUAGCCCGGAGAUGGACACUGAGACAAGGGUCCAGGCCCUACGGGGCGCAGCAGGCGCGAAAACUCCGCAAUACACGAAAGUGUGACGGGGCUAUCCCGAGUGCCGUCCGCUGAGGAUGGCUUUUCCUCAGUGUAAGGAGCUGGAGGAAUAAGGAGAGGGCAAGUCUGGUGUCAGCCGCCGCGGUAAUACCAGCUCUCCGAGUAGUAGGGACGUUUAUUGGGCUUAAAGCGUCCGUAGCUGGCUCAACAAGUCCCCUGUUAAAUCCAACGAUUCAAUCGUUGGACUGCAGGGGAUACUGUUGGGCUGGGAGUCGGGAGAGGCCGACGGUAUUCCCGGAGUAGGGGUGAAAUCCUAUAAUUCCGGGAGGACCACCAGUGGCGAAGGCGGUCGGCUAGAACGAGCUCGACGGUGAGGGACGAAAGCUGGGGGAGCGAACCGGAUUAGAUACCCGGGUGGUCCCAGCUGUAAACGAUGCGGGCUAGGUGUUAGGGUGGCUACGUGCCACCCUAGUGCCGCAGCGAAAGCAUUAAGCCCGCCGCCUGGGGAGUACGGCCGCAAGGCUGAAACUUAAAGGAAUUGGCGGGGGAGCAC
rnacentral:rRNA from 1 species